rnacentral:rRNA from 1 species
AUUGAACGCUGGCGGAAUGCUUUACACAUGCAAGUCGAACGGUAGAGGGGGCAACCCCUUGAGAGUGGCGAACGGGUGAGUAAUAUAUCGGAACGUGCCCAGUCGUGGGGAUAACGUAGCGAAAGUUACGCUAAUACCGCAUACGAUCUAAGGAUGAAAGCGGGGGACUCGCAAGAGCCUCGCGCGAUUGGAGCGGCCGAUAUCAGAUUAGGUAGUUGGUGGGGUAAAGGCUCACCAAGCCAACGAUCUGUAGCUGGUCUGAGAGGACGACCAGCCACACUGGAACUGAGACACGGUCCAGACUCCUACGGGAGGCAGCAGUGGGGGAAUUUUGGACAAUGGACGCAAGUCUGAUCCAGCCAUUCCGCGUGCAGGAUGAAGGCCCUCGGGUUGUAAACUGCUUUUAUACAGGAAGAAACACUCCGACGUGUCGGAGCUUGACGGUACUGUAAGAAUAAGGAUCGGCUAACUCCGUGCCAGCAGCCGCGGU